GAUGAACGCUGGCGGCGUGCUUAACACAUGCAAGUCGAGCGAAGCGCUUAAGUUUGAUUCUUCGGAUGAAGACUUUUGUGACUGAGCGGCGGACGGGUGAGUAACGCGUGGGUAACCUGCCUCAUACUCGGGGAUAGCCUUGCGAAAGUAAGAUUAAUACCCGGCGGUCUCGGAUGGCCGCAUGACUAUCCGAGUGAAGAUUUAUCGGUAUGAGAUGGCGAUGCGUCCCAUUAGCUAGUUGGUGAGGUAAUGGCUCACCAAGGCAUCGAUGGGUAGGGGUUCUGAGAGGAAGGUCCCCCACAUUGGAACUGAGACACGGUCCAA
rnacentral:rRNA from 1 species